UAGACAGACCUGGCAUUUAAACAAAAGCAGAAGGAGGAGCAAAAGAAACUUGAGGAGAUGAAAGCAAAGGCUGCUGGAAAAGGGCCCCUCACCAGUGGUGGAAUAAAGAAGUCUGGCAAAAAGUAGUUCGAUCCAACUUCAGGGUAAGAAGCGGUCAAGUUACUCAAUGGAUCUGCAGACUUCCAAGAGUCAUGAAAACUCACUGUUGAUUCAGAAACAUUGUACAUUUUGUUUAGUCAGAAUAAAUUUCUUUUGUUAAGAUGUGACAUUUUCUCUUUACCUGUAGGUUUUGUUUUAAAAAUGGCAUUACCGUUUUAUGCUGGAAAUGGAACUUUUACUGAAGACUGCUUGUGAUCUUAAGCAGCCUGACUGUAUCUGCUGGUUCCGUAGUCAUUUGUGAGAAUAAAAUUCCACUUUUGCUCAAUUUUGA